CCCCCGCCGGCGCCUCAGGAAAGGUGGUGGAUGAGGGACUCGCCUGCGGCUCCCCCGGCCUGAAGCAACUCCAUCCGCUCCUGCAGCUGCCGGACGUGCGCCUCCAGGUCUCGGUUACGGGCCUCGGCCUCGCGGAGUUGGCUGCAGGGGAGGAACCUCCCAGAGGGCCUAGCACUCCAUGGCGCACACUAUCCCCGAAGGCCUCCGCUUUUCUCUCGAUUCGUCCCUCAUUGACCCUCUCCUCUAAAGACUCACCGCUUCCUCUGGUGGGGGCACCGUGGGUUCCAGGCUGGGCUCUUGCAAUGGCUCAGGCAGCGCCUCGGCCUCCAGUUCCAUGGGCGUGGAGCCCGGGAUCUCAUCAUCCCUGGGGAGAGGAAGAGGGCGAGGGGAGGAAGAGCCGGCCUCAUGCCCAUCCUCGGCCUCAUGCCCAUCCUCUGCGUUUACAGCCAGGACUCCCUAGCCUGUGCCCUGGGGCAGCCAGACCUGAAGGCUCCAGGCUUGAGGAGGGGGAGGGGCAGAGUGAAGGGAAUAAAUGGCCAGGCUGGUGAGACAGGUCCUCCUCUUGUUAGGAAAAGGCCUGCGCCUGGCAUGGCCUCAGGCCCCUGGAAGCUGGCCUCUGCACCUUCCUUGGGAACCUGGGGUCAGGAAACCCAUGUUCUAGGAUCUGCCCAUCUCCGUCUCCACGUGCGCUUUACAGCCCCUCUCCUAAGGGCCUCAGGAAGUGAGGGAGACACUCCCAGCUCCGGCCACCUCCAAAGGGGUGGUCUUCAGACUGGGUGUUGGACCCCAAGCCUGACUCUAGACAGCAGCCACCCCUCCCACCCCCAGACCCAGGUGCUGGGAGGAAGACAGACCCUCCCAAGGAAUAUGAAAUUGCAGUAAAAGUGAUGUCCCCUCCAACCCAGCAGUCCCUCUUGUAGAAAUAUGUCUCAAGGACCCAAUGAUGCUCGACAAGCGCCAAGACCAACCUGCGGCUGUUCAUCCAGCCUGGGUCAUGGCAGAGGCGGGUUAGCUGAGUCCUGACCCGCCCAGUAAGGAGAACACUCCCCAGCGGGUCAGGAUUGUGUUAUAGUUUGUUCAAGAAAUGGCACUUGCGGUACACUGUCCAAUAACAGAACAGAUCAGAAUACAGCAUGUUCUCGCAGCUGGUAAGUACGUGUGCUGUGAGCCAGGGACACACAAGGCCGCUGCUGGCGGCCUUCCUUUUUCUCAUCCCUAUUUUCUAAUAUACUUGUGAUAAGCAAUGUAUUAUUUUCAGAAUCAAUGUUUUAAGAAGGCUUUGUGGUUAUGUAAUUCAGUGAGUCCGUGUUCUUUUAAGAUUGACGUAACAAUUCUAAACUUCUUAUUCUCUAA